rnacentral:lncRNA from 1 species
GGACACUUAAUCUUCAAGCAGAUCGGUGUUCAUGGUACCUUCAAGGAAACUAUUGUUCCCCGGUGUCAUUGUUUCUGGCAGCUUCAGUAAGAUUGUUUUGUCCAACUUGAUCACUUGUUAACAGGCUUCUUAAACUGGCAAUUUCUAUGGACGCAGCAUAAACUGUCUCACCAGCAUCCAAAAUUAGAUGAUAAUAAGGUAAAGUAUUAGCAAAGAAAACUAGUUAACAGGAUGCUUAAUCUUCAACAGAUCAGUGUCCACGCAACCUUCAAGCAAAUUAAAAUUAAUGUUCUGCAUGUGGCCAUUGUCUCUGGAAAAUUCAGUACAAUUAUUCUCUCCCACUUGAUUGCUCAUGAUACCUUGAGGCAAAUUAAUGCUCCCCAAGUUGUCAUUGUCCCUGGUAGCUUCAGCAUAACCAUUCUGCCUGACUUGAUCACUUGUUAACAGGCUGCCUAAACCAGAGGUUCCUAAGUAUGCAUGGUAAGCUAUUUCACUAGUACACAAAGUAAACCACAAAAAGGUACGGUUCAGUAUUGGCCCUCGAUCUCCCUGCACAGGUGAGCAGCAAGCUCACCUCCACACCCACACACUCACUCGGCUAGAGGUAGAAGAAAGGGUGGGCACAGCACACACCAUUCUAUUUUGGGUACUAUUAGGAAUUGGUCCUUGAGGAGCUGCCUUUUGGACUUGUGUUCCAGUGCUUUGUAAGAUAAUCUGCUGCACUCUCCCUUUACAUUUUAAGUGCACAGUGCACAUCCAGUAGUAGUAGAUGCACCCUGCUGCACCCACUUACUUUUUAAGCGCAUAGUAGCAGUAGCAGGUGCAUUAAGUUUUCUAUAUAUCAGGUUGUUUAGUAAAUGGAAAAAGUAGUUUAGUUCAGCCACAUUUCCAGAGCAGCAGAGCUGCUGCUUGUGGUGUGUACGUGCUGUGCUCAUCUCCUUCCUCUAGCCAAGUGUGUGUGUGUGUGUGUGUGUGUGUGCGCGCGCGCGUGUGUGUGUGUGGAGGUGAGCUAGUAGCUCACCUGUACAGGGAGAUCGAGGGACAACAAAUGGUGUCCGAGCCGAGGUUGCCACUGUGGUUGAUUCCGUGAGAUGCCGGAUGAUGCUGGUUUGGCGGUGGUACUCAUCUAAAUAACUUUUCAUGUAACCUCUAUCAGCAAUCAAAAAAGUAUGUGUCAUUAGACAAUAGCGCUGGUUGAAACAAAUACUCAACCCAUCAGCAUGCCCAUCAAUUCUUUUGUGAGCAAAGGCUCUCCAGCCCUGCGCUUGGUAAUCAGGAAGAUCCUUCAACCACUGGGGAACCUCAAACUCUUUGUUCUGUUGUUCCAUUGCAACCUCUUCUUCUUGUGCAUCUAGUACAGGAGGAGGUAUUUCGUCAACCGGGACAUCAAAGUCACAUAGUACACCCAAUAUUAUGAUACAACACAAAACAAAAUAUUUAGAGAUUGGAAUCUAAAGCGUCAUAUCAUAUUCCCAAACUUAUGAUAUGCAGACAAAUGGAAUUUUUUUGUAAAUGUAGAUUGGAAUCCAAGCAAGUGCACACACACCCACACGCACACGACGCACACAACGCACACGCACACACACACACACACACACACACACACACACACACACUAGAUUGCCAACGAAAAAUGCUUUGAACUAAUGGAUACUAAAGACCACAGGAGUGUGACAAAAAUACGCCAAGCAGAAGGGUGGAGAAGACAUUUAAUGCCAAUAGAAAAGAUGAGCGAGUAAACAAGUUGUCAAAUUGUGCUGCUUAAUCACAAAUAUCUUAAAUGAUGUCUUUCUCUUCACUGUAUUGAAUGUUUCAAGGUAACAAAAUUAGUACUUCCCUUGAAAGCUCCAAUAUUAGAAAAUCUAGCUUAUAAGGAAUCUUUAGUGGAUGGGGUUUUUGCUAUACUUACACUCCCCCCCCCCCCCCCCCCCCCCAAAGAAAUUCGACAGCCUCCAAGAACUUUUCGUGGACCUCAAUGAUCCGUGUGAUUCGAUUCCGCUUUUUGGCUCUUCAUAUCCAUUGCUUUCAGGAUCGGAUAAACUGUCGCUCUCUAGGAUAAGCACUUCCUUGGACUUUUCAGUAGAUGAUGAAACCAUUCUAUUUUGGGUACUAUUAGGAAUUGGUCCUUGAGGAGCUGCCUUUUGGACCUGUGUUCCAGUGCUUUGUAAGAUAAUCUGCUGCACUCUCCCUUUACAUUUUAAGUGCACAGUGCACAUCCAGUAGCAGUAGAUGCACCCUGCUGCACCCACUUACUUUUUAAGCGCAUAGUAGCAGUAGCCGGUGCAUUAAGUUUUCUAUAUAUCAGGUUGUUUAGUAAAUGGAAAAAGUAGUUUAGUUCAGCCACAUUUCCAGAGCAGCAGAGCUGCUGCUUGUGGUGUGCAUGUGCUGUGCUCAUCUUCUUCCUCUAUCCGAAUGUGUGUGUGUGUGUGUGUGUGUGUGUGCAUGCAGGAGAGCUAGUAGCUCACCUGUACAGGGAGAUCGAGGGACAACAAGUGGUGUCUGAGCCAAGGUUGCCACUGCGGUUGAUUCCGUGAGAUGCCGGAUGACGCUGGUUUGGCGGUGGUACUCAUCUAAAUAACUCCUCAUGUAACUUCUAUCAGCAAUCAAAAAAGUAUGUGUCAUUAGACAAUAGCACUGGUUGAAAGAAAUACUCAACCCAUCAGCAUGCCCAUCAAUUCUUUUGUGAGCAAAGGCUCUAAAGUCCUGCGCUUGGUAACCAGGAAGAUCCGUCAACCACUGGGGAACCUCAACCUCUUUGUUCCGUUGUUCCAUUGCAACCUCUUCUUCUUGUGCAUCUAGUACAGGAGGUAUUUCGUCAACCGGGACAUCAAAGUCACAUAGUACACCCAAUAUUAUGAUACACCACAAAAUAGAAUAUUUAGAAAUUGGAAUCUAAAGCGUCAUAUCAUAUUCCCAAACUUAUGAUAUGCAAAGAAAUGGAAUAUUUUUAUAAAUGUAGAUUGGAAUCCAAGCAAGCACACACACACC